CUUCUCAGUUUAACAUCCCCCCACCAUGGCGACCUCCAUCGAAGCAAAGAUAUGUAAGCUUUCUGUGUGAGCAAUGAGAGAGGAUUUAGAAGAAAAUAAAAGAGUGCUAUGGGAGAAUGUUAGAGAGGGUGAAAGGAUUCAGUUGCAAUACUUCUCGUGUCCAUCCCUCGUCAUCCCAAACCCGAACCAAAAACCUCUAUGAAAUUGUCAGAGUUUACACCACAACGAGUUCCAACGCCUUGAAAUCCACCUACGUUUACUGUUUCCGAUCAAAUUUUGGUGUGAUGAAUCGUCGUUUUCUUCUUCGAACCAAGUAGAUAAAUCGUUGGUGAUGUUGAUGUGGAUGGUGUUGGUGUUGGUCUUUAUGGAAAUCAUGUAAAUCUCUAGAGUUUUUUUAAUACCACAUCGGAAUGAGCUUCUUUCAUGGAUCAAUAUUAGGCUUCAACUCAAUCUUUCUCGUAUUGAAGAGGUCCAUAAGCCUUCUCAUAAUUUAGUUUUUUUUUAAUUUUCUUUUUCUUUAGAUUAUUCGAUGUUUUUGGUUCAUAAAUUGAAGGACGAUUACAAAAAUGGACACUUGAUCUACACAAAAAUUAUAUUUGCAAGAUCAACAACAUUAAUACAAGAUGAUAGAAAUGACGUAUCCAAGGGGCAUUCCAUAUGCACAAGGUCAAUUUCGAUGGUUGUUGAGUAUAUGUUGCAUUCAAACAAGAACAUACAAAAUCUUUCUUCCUACGCUGCUUAUUAGAAACCUCAUCAAUGGUGAGUAUAUGUCAUAGUCAACCAAGAACACAUGCUUUAUGCACUUGUUCAAUUUGGUUCUCGAACUGUAUUUUGCUUUGUCUCUCUAGCUUCAUCAAAAAAGUUGUUAGGAUCCAAGCGCUUACCACUACGCCAAAAGCAAUUGCUGAUGGAGAAGCGCAACUUAUUUUCUUUAGCGUAGCAGUUAGCACCACAUUUCGAUUUAGAAAGAUGCUGGUUGAUUUCGAUUUGGGCCCUUAUUAUCUAUUAAAUUUUUUUUACCUCU